GGGAUGCUGGCGGUGGCCCAAUGGUUAGCGCGCUGGACUAGCUCCGGAUCAGAGCGGUCCGGGUUCAAGCCCUGGCCGUCUCC